rnacentral:rRNA from 1 species
GCAGUGAGGGAUAUUGGUCAAUAGCCGAAAGGCUGAACCAGCAACUUGGAAGAAUGUAUAACGAAUAAGUCGUAUAAAAUUCUAAAUAAAAAGUGAUAGUGACAAUUUUUAUUUAUAAGUCUUGACCAAAUUACGUGCCAGCAGUCGCGGUAACACGCAGAAGACUAGUGUUAUUCAUCUUUAAUAGGUAUAAAGGGUACCUAGACGGAUUAUCAAGCCAAAUGAAGGGACUAAUUUUCUAGAGUUUUAUGAAGGAAUAUCGAAUUGCUGGAGGAAAGUCAACAUUUUUUGAUACCAGUGAGACGGGCAACAGUGAAGGCGCUAUUCUAUGUAAUAACUGACGUUGAGGGACGAAGCCUGGGGUAGCGAUAAGGAUUAGAUACCCUAGUAGUCCCAGGAGAAAAUAACGAGUGCUAUAGACUAUAAUCGUAGUCUAUAAAUGAAAGUGUAUGCAUUCCACCUCAUGAGUAAAGCGGCAACGCCGGAAUUGAAAUCAUUAGACCGUGUCUGAAACCAGUAGUGAAGUAUGUUAUUUAAUUCGAUAACCCGCGAAUAACCUUACCACGUUUUGAAUAUUGUUACAAGCGCUGCACGGCUGUCUUCAGUUAAUGUCGUGAGAUUUUGGUUAGUUCCAUUAAUUAACGAAAGCCCUUAUUUUAUUUAUAUUAAUAAAAUAUUUUCGCCGUUACAUUGGAUAGAAUAAUAGGGACCAAGACAAGUCAUCAUGGCCUUAAUAACGUGGGCUAUAGACGUGCCACAUAUACCUCUACAAAGGGAUG